rnacentral:rRNA from 1 species
GACGAACGCUGGCGGCGUGCCUAAUACAUGCAAGUCGAACGCUUUUUCUUUCACUGAGACUUGUCUCACCGAAAGAAAAAGAGUGGCGAACGGGUGAGUAACACGUGGGUAACCUGCCCUCGAGAAGGGGAUAACACUUGGAAACAGGUGCUAAUACCGUAUAACAAUAACUGCCGCAUGGCAGGUAUUUGAAAGGCGCUUUUGCGUCACUCGAGGAUGGACCCGCGGUGCAUUAGCUAGUUGGUGAGGUAACGGCUCACCAAGGCGACGAUGCAUAGCCGACCUGAGAGGGUGAUCGGCCACACUGGGACUGAGACACGGCCCAGACUCCUACGGGAGGCAGCAGUAGGGAAUCUUCGGCAAUGGACGAAAGUCUGACCGAGCAACGCCGCGUGAGUGAAGAAGGUUUUCGGAUCGUAAAACUCUGUUGUUAGAGAAGAACAAGGAUGAGAGUAGAACGUUCAUCCCUUGACGGUAUCUAACCAGAAAGCCACGGCUAACUACGUGCCAGCAGCCGCGGUAAUACGUAGGUGGCAAGCGUUGUCCGGAUUUAUUGGGCGUAAAGCGAGCGCAGGCGGUUCUUUAAGUCUGAUGUGAAAGCCCCCGGCUCAACCGGGGAGGGUCAUUGGAAACUGGAGAACUUGAGUGCGGAAGAGGAGAGUGGAAUUCCAUGUGUAGCGGUGAAAUGCGUAGAUAUAUGGAGGAACACCAGUGGCGAAGGCGGCUCUCUGGUCUGUAACUGACGCUGAGGCUCGAAAGCGUGGGGAGCAAACAGG